GGACGGGUGAGUAAUGCCUAGGAAUCUGCCUGGUGUGGGGGAUAACGUCCGGAAACGGGCGCUAAUACCGCAUACGUCCUGAGGGAGAAAGUGGGGGAUCUUCGGACCUCACGCUAUCAGAUGAGCCUAGGUCGGAUUAGCUAGUUGGUGGGGUAAAGGCCUACCAAGGCGACGAUCCGUAACUGGUCUGAGAGGAUGAUCAGUCACACUGGAACUGAGACACGGUCCAAACUCCUACGGGAGGCAGCAGUGGGGAAUAUUGGACAAUGGGCGAAAGCCUGAUCCAGCCAUGCCGCGUGUGUGAAGAAGGUCUUCGGAUUGUAAAGCACUUUAAGUUGGGAGGAAGGGCAGUAAGUUAAUACCCUUGCUGUUUUGACGUUACCCACAGAAUAAGCACCCGGCUAACUUCGUGCCAUCAGCCGC
rnacentral:rRNA from 1 species